rnacentral:rRNA from 1 species
AUCAUGAAUUUCAAAUCGAUGGUUCCUUCGGGAGCAUUGAGACAGGUGCUGCAUGUNUGUCGUCAGCUCGUGUCGUGAGAUGUUGGGUUAAGUCCCGUAACGAGCGCCAACCUUGGUUCUUUAGUUUACCAGCACGUUAUGGUGGGCACUCUAAGGGAGACUGCCGGUGACAAACCGGAGGAAGGUGGGGAUGACGUCAAGUCAUCAUGGCCCUUACGGCCUGGGCUACACACGUGCUACAAUGGUCGGUACAGAGGGUUGCCAAGCCGCGAGGUGGAGCUAAUCCCACAAAACCGAUCGUAGUCCGGAUCGCAGUCUGCAACUCGACUGCGUGAAGUCGGAAUCGCUAGUAAUCGCGAAUCAAAUGUCGCGGUGAAUACGUUCCCGGGUCU